GUCAGACCAUAGAAGACAGAGCGCUAGCGUAUCUAGCCUUCUUUCUAUAGCUAUGGUCGGCACGUCUGGUAGCAUCUCUGGCUGCUGUUGAUCUUGUUUUUGGAGUAAAACAUGGUGGAAGCUGAAUUAGUGAGGAUGACUCCUGCUCCUGUCAUCUCUAAGCUCCUCACACAUCUUUACCUGCACAUGAGGAAAAUCACUCCUGUAGAAUGCAGAUGUUCAGAGGGAGAUGAUGCCACAUCUGGUCCAGCUGAUGGAAGGUCUUGAAGUUCUCUGACUGGCCUCGACUGAAGAUGGUCGUCUCACUGGAUUUAAGGUUCAGAUGCUCAGUAACAAACUCCACCAAUGUGCCAACAGGGAAGCUUUAGGUUUAUUAAAUGUUGCUAUGAAGGUAUCGCUGUUUUUCUUAGUGAAUGCAAUGUGCUCCAACUGAAAGUUGAAUUAGAACUUAGAAGUAAAUCCUUCCAGAUGAAAACUAUGAUGGUGUUGGAUUGUCAGACUGUAAUGUUGCAGCUCAAAGCAGCUUUUCUAGCUCAGUUCAUUCUGACAUUCAGCUAUGAAUCAACACAGCAGAUGGUGAUCCAUGCUGUGGAAGUCUCACAUCUCCUGAUUUAAUGGAGCUGCUUCACACUUUUUACACUAUUUAUUCACCGACACUUUAUUUAAUAAAAGUCCCAUCUAGUUUUUAUGAGGAAUGUGAUGUUUUAAUUUCUCUGAAUAACUGCAGUCUAAUGUAACAGCUGGAAUUGUAACAUCUGUCCUGAUAUUGAUCAUGAAGUAUUGAUCAGAAUACUUAUGGUUAGCAGUCAUCCCUGAAGUUUUACAUUAAAAUCUUUACUUGUGUUGGGAACUUUGGUAAGAAGCAGAAACGUUAGCGUUGCCAUGGAUACAUGAGUGUUAAAUUCUGUCCAUGUUUCCAUUUUGGGAAAUUCAGUCCAGUUCCAGAAUGUGGAGGAAUUUAGUCUCACAAUCACAGACAACAAAUAUUAUCUGAAAGUCGGGUUAUUGUUGUUUAUCAGCACAAUACAAAAAGAUUAAUGUUAGAAAUAUUCCAGUUAAGACUCUAGAAUAUCAUGAUUUAUGUAAAUUUACCUCAAUAAUAUGAAUGUUCAGGUUAAGAUUGUACAGUGAUAUUUAUUAUGUAAGUUUAGCUGAUUAAAGUUUAUGACUCUGCACUAAAAUAUUAUUUAAAUUGACAUCAUUAUUAUAAUAUUUAGGGUCAGACCCCAACUUGAAUUAGAACUUAGAAGUAAAUCCUUCCAUCUGAAAGGAUUUAGUUGCAUUAAUAGCCUCAUAACAUUCUAAUUUUUAUUCCAGUCUUGGUUGGAAAUAGAAUCUCUGUAUUGAUUCAGGUAAAAACUGAACUUCACAGCAUGUUGGAGCAAAACAACCAGAUGAAAACUGUGAUGGUGUUGGAUUGUCAGACCGUAAUGUUGCAGCUCAAAGCAGCUUUUCUAGCUCAGUUCAUUCUGACAUUCAGCUAUGAAUCAACACAGCAGAUGGUGAUCCAUGCUGUGGAAGUCUCACAUCUCCUGAUUUAAUGGAGCUGCUUUGCACUUUUUACACUGUUUAUUCACCAACACUUUAUUUAAUAAAAGUCCCAUCUAGUUUUUAUGAGGAAUGUGAUGUUUUAAUUUCUCUGUGAAUAACUGCAGUCUAAUGCAACAGCUGGAGUUGUAACAUCUGUCCUGAUAUUGAUCAUGAAGUAUUGAUCAGAAUGAUCAGAUGAGUUUGUUUUUACUACCAGCUACCAUUCAGUCUGAGAUAUUAGGAAUAAAUAAAUGUGCAUAAUAUGGAAAUGAACAGAUUCGAUUUUUAUUUGCUCCUACAGCUGCUGCAGGUUCCAAAGUUCCAGAAUGUGGAGGAAUUUAGUCUCACAAUCACAGACAACAAAUAUUAUCUGAAAGUCGGGUUAUUGUUGUUUAUCAGCACAAUACAAAAAGAUUAAUGUUAGAAAUAUUCCAGUUAAGACUCUAGAAUAUCAAGAGUUAUGUAAGUUUACCUCAAUAAUAUAAAUGUUCAGGUUAAGAUUGUGCAGUGAUAUUUAUUAUGUAAGUUUAGCUGAUUAAAGUUUUACUCUGCACUACAAUAUUAUUUAUUAUUUAAAUUUACACCAUUAUAAUAUUUUGGGUCAGACCCUACAGUAUUGAGAUUAAGAAAUCAAAUAUUCUAUAAAAUGUAAAUACACUGAACUCAUUUGGAGAUAUUUAAGCGAGACUCUACAAUAUUAUUUGACACAAAUCUAUCUAAAUCAAAAUUUUAAUCAUUUUUACUCCAAACAUUUACUGGACUAAUUUAAAUAUUAAAAUCACUCUUUUCUAAUCCUCUGCUGUACGUUCAAACCUGAGGCCUUAAAUAGAAACACACAAGUAUCUGUUUGAAGGAACUUCUGCAGAGUCCUGGUUCCAGAACAUGAUGAUAGAAUUAUAGACAAACUUUAACAAAAGCUGCCUGAGAGUUUACAGCUUUUUAUGUGAGAUUUCUUCAGUAAUUUAAUGAGAGUUAUCAGCAAAAAUCAAGUGUUCAUUUGGUGAACUUGAUUUCCUAAAACAUCCAGAAUUGGAGCUCAUAUCAGCUGUAAAGUUUCUGCUCCUUCAAAGUUCACAACACAAUGAAUGAAUUCCUAAAACACUCUCAGUGCUGGAGAGCGUUUGUGAUGCUGAAGCAGUGAUCAGUUUUUCUGUUUCUUCUCUGGAGAUGCACAAUGAGGGACGUCUGCAGCGACUGAGAAAGAGUCUCACCACAUCCUGACAUGAGGAAAAAGACUUUAUUGAAGACUACAAUGAGAAAAACUAUCGGACAGCAGACGGCUGCAUUCAAGGUGAGCUCUGAACAUUUGAUCUGGAACAGGAAUUCAAUAACGGCAGCAUGAGCUUCAUUUCAGUCUGUAGCUGCUGAAUUCAUGGAUGAAUCAUCUGGCACUAGAGAAGAAGACCAUCAAACAUCCACAUCAGCUGAUGGAGGUCCAAGAGUCUCACCAAACAAACAACCUACAGAGUGAAGACCUCGAAUCUGAUUGGACGGCCUCCUAUUCAGCCACAUGUGUGAACAAAUGCCUCUAAGUUGAUUUGUUUUCUAAAAUAAAUCUAGUUUGAGUCCUAA